GACGAACGCUGGCGGCGUGCCUAAUACAUGCAAGUUGAGCGCUGAAGGUUGGUACUUGUACCAACUGGAUGAGCAGCGAACGGGUGAGUAACGCGUGGGGAAUCUGCCUUUGAGCGGGGGACAACAUUUGGAAACGAAUGCUAAUACCGCAUAAAAACUUUAAACACAAGUUUUAAGUUUGAAAGAUGCAAUUGCAUCACUCAAAGAUGAUCCCGCGUUGUAUUAGCUAGUUGGUGAGGUAAAGGCUCACCAAGGCGAUGAUACAUAGCCGACCUGAGAGGGUGAUCGGCCACAUUGGGACUGAGACACGGCCCAAACUCCUACGGGAGGCAGCAGAAGGGAAUCUUCGGCAAUGGACGAAAGUCUGACCGAGCAACGCCGCGUGAGUGAAGAAGGUUUUCGGAUCGUAAAACUCUGUUGGUAGAGAAGAACGUUGGUGAGAGUGGAAAGCUCAUCAAGUGACGGUAACUACCCAGAAAGGGACGGCUAACUACGUG
rnacentral:rRNA from 1 species